rnacentral:rRNA from 1 species
UACGGGGGGGGCAAGCGUUGUUCGGAAUUACUGGGCGUAAAGGGCUCGUAGGCGGCCAACUAAGUCGGAUGUGAAAUCCCCAGGCUCAACCUGGGAACUGCAUCCGAUACUGGAUGGCUUGAAUUCGGGAGAGGGACGCAGAAUUCCAGGUGUAGCGGUGAAAUGCGUAGAUAUCCGGAAGAACACCGAUGGCGAAGGCAACCACCUGGGCCUGUACUGACGCUGAGGUACGAAAGCGUGGGGAGCAAACAGG